UAGAGUUUGAUCAUGGCUCAGGAUGAACGCUGGCGGCGUGCUUAACACAUGCAAGUUGAACGAAGCUUAUAGCACCUAUUCCUUCGGGGAGAAGUGUUAUAAGACUUAGUGGCGAACGGGUGAGUAACACGUGAGCAACCAACCCCUUACAGUGGAAUAACAACGGGAAACCGUUGCUAAUACCGCAUAAUAUCGCUAUAUGGCAUCAUAUGGAGAUCAAAGAUUUAUCGGUGAGGGACGGGCUCGCGUCCGAUUAGGUAGUAGGUAAGGUAACGGCUUACCUAGCCGACGAUCGGUAGCCGGACUGAGAGGUCGAUCGGCCACAUUGGGACUGAGACACGGCCCAGACUCCUACGGGAGGCAGCAGUGGGGAAUGUUGGGCAAUGGGGGCAACCCUGACCCAGCGACGCCGCGUGAAGGACGAAGGCAUUCGUGUUGUAAACUUCUUUGGAGAGGGACGAAAAUGACGGUACCUCUCGAACAAGCCACGGCUAACUACGUGCCAGCAGCCCGCGGUAAUACGUAGGUGGCAAGCGUUAUCCGGAAUUACUGGGUGUAAAGGGCGCGCAGGCGGCCCUGCAAGUCGGAUGUGAAAGAUCAAGGCUCAACCUUGACAGGCCAUUCGAAACUGUGGGGCUUGAGUGUCAGAGGGGAAAGUGGAAUUCCUAGUGGAGCGGUAAAAUGCGCAGAUAUUAGGAGGAACACCGGUGGCGAANGCGACUUUCUGGCUGACAACUGACGCUGAGGCGCGAAAACGUGGGGGAGCAAACAGGAUUAGAUACCCUGGUGGUCCACGCCGUAACCAUGAUUACU
rnacentral:rRNA from 1 species